rnacentral:rRNA from 1 species
AUGGCUGAAGGGCCGUUGGACUUCUGGAUUAACUGGGGGAGCCAGAUCGGGGUUCUCUUGAGCCUCGCCUUCCAGGUCAUCCUCCAUCUCUUCGCCAAUGUACGUCGGCGUAGUAGCUCAGCUAUGCUGAGGGUUCCCCUCUGGCUGGCAUACCAGCUGUCGGACAUGACCGCGAUAUAUGCUGCCGGCCAGCUCCUAUACAGCAGCAACACACCGCAAGACCACCAGCUCAUUGCCUUGUGGGCGCCAUUCCUCCUGCUGCACCUUGGUGGCCCGGACAACAUCACCGCCUAUGCCCUCGAGGAUAGCAAGCUUUGGAAGCGUCACUUGCUGAUCCUUGCGGUGCAGGUUGCGGGAGCCGGAUAUGUCCUCUAUAAGUACAUCGCCGGCAGCGGGAUCUUGCUCACACUGGCUGCCAUCUUGAUACUCGUUAUUGGUGUUGCAAAGUAUGGGGAGAGGACAUGGGCACUCCGGGCGGCCAACUUCAGCAUUCUUCAGAGCUCAAUCAAGGCAACAAAAGAAAAAAGCAAAACAAAGAGCUCUCUGAUGACAAGCAAAGAAGAAACCAAAUCAAAGAGCUCUCUCAAGGUACCAAGACGUGACCAAUAUUUUUAUCAAGAAUGGUACAACGACUUGCCAGACGAGCUCAUCCUACAGCGUGCUCAUUCUCUUUUUCAUAUUUGCAAGCGUGGGAUAGUUGAUUCAGUGGUCGAGAUAGAUGUCGCAGGUACCCCGAGUAAGGUAACAAUCCAGGAACUUAAGAAUGACCAUGAGAAAAUGUGGAGGGUGAUGGAGAUGGAACUCUCCCUCAUGUAUGAUAUUCUGUACACCAAGGCAAACGUGAUCCACUCUUGGUUUGGCUACUGCAUCCGUACCAUCUCGCCGCUCACUGUCAUUGCCUCACUCAUGUUGUUCAGGUUGAGCAACAAAGAUGGUUACAGCCGAGUUGACAUUGCCAUCACGUACACCUUGUUGGGUGGUGCCUUGGUCCUAGAGACGAAAUCGCUCCUCGGUGCACUAGGGUCGAGCUGGGCGCUUGGCUUCUUGUGCGCCACACGAUUGGAUUGGCUCCGGCAUUCAUCUCUGUGCACCGGAAGAUGGUAUCGGUUACGGCGCACACUUCUUUCUCUUCGCAGGUCCUGGCCUGGCAAGAUGAUUAUGACAGGAGGCUCAAGGAGGUGGUCAGGCAUCAUAGGUCAGCAUAACAUGUUGCGGUUUCGUGCUGGACAGGUGGAUCCUAUGAGUCGCCGACUCGAAAAUCUGUUCAUGGUGCUUGGACUCGGUGAGUGGUGGGAUAGGAGGUACUACUCGUGCACUGUCGUUGUCCCGAAGAAUGUCAUGAAGUGUGCACAGAAGGUGGGCAGGUGGUCACAAGAUGAUAUAAACACAAUGGGCGUGCUCAGGCAUAAAUGGGGUGAAGCAGCACUGGAUAACAGAGUGUACCAUGAGCUGUACAAGGAAUUGGAAAAGUAUCACGGAGUUGAAUUCCAUGAGAGCAUCAUCUGCUGGCACAUUGCCACCGAUUUGAUCCUCGCAAGGGUGGAAAAGGAAAAGGGACAUUUUGCAGCUGAUAGCAGUGCGCAGAUAGUCAGGGCACUGUCCAACUACAUGAUGUUCCUCCUCGUGAACAGCCCCUACAUGCUACCAGGCCUUCCUCAAAAUUGGCUGUACAAGCAAACCUGCAACAAUCUGGACAAGAUAUGCGAUGACUAUAAUCUUGUCGGCUCUCUGGGCGACAACUUGUGGACUGUGCUCAAGAAAUUGCUCGGAUUGCAUCAUCACAGGGUAUUGGAAUCUUCUGGGCUUGAGAAGAAGCUCGCUGACGUCAUACUGGAGUUACCGAAGGGACAUGCAGGCUCUGGCUCUGAAACUCCUCGACUCUUGUAUGCACGCCGUAUUGCUGUUCUAAUACUUGAGAGUGAGGUAGUAGAUGAUAAGGUGCGUCUGCUGCUAGAUCUGUGGAUCGACUUCCUAGCCUACGCAGCCAACCGGUGCAUUAGGGAGUCACAUGCCAAGAAGCUUAGCACCGGUGGUGAGCUCAUGACCAUCGUGUGGCUUAUUUUGGAACACCUCCGCUAUUUAAAAGAAGACCCAAACAAGGAGGGAAGCCAUGUAUAA